AUUGAACGCUGGCGGCAGGCCUAACACAUGCAAGUCGAGCGAGCGGCGGAAGGGUGAGUAAUGCAUGGGGAUCUGCCCGAUAGAGGGGGAUAACUACUGGAAACGGUGGCUAAUACCGCAUACUAUCGGAUGAACCCAUAUGGGAUUAGCGAGUAGGUGGGGUAACGGCUCACCUAGGCUACGAUCUCUAGCUGGUCUGAGAGGAUGAUCAGCCACACUGGGACUGAGACACGGCCCAGACUCCUACGGGAGGCAGCAGUGGGGAAUAUUGCACAAUGGGCGCAAGCCUGAGGCAGCCAUGCCGCGUGUAUGAAGAAGGCCUUCGGGUUGUAAAGUACUUUCAGCGGGGAGGCGUUACCCGCAGAAGCCGCCCCGGCUAACUCCGUGCCAGCAGCCGCGGUAAUUC
rnacentral:rRNA from 1 species